GGGGGUGUACUGGUUUCGACUUAACAAUGGAACAUAAGUGGCAUGCAGAGGACGUCAGUUGGCCUCUUAAAUCAUCUGGCAAACUACAAAUGACAACAAAAUUGUCGAAGCUAACUUCGCUCCUGAAGCGGAUCUAGCUCAUGCAGCUUAAGACCUAACAGUCUAAGUAGCACGGCGGCCUGAGAUGCACCAGGCAUUUUAGGACCCGCUGUUAUAUUUCCUGGUUAGAGUGCGAUCCAUUUACGCUUUUUCGGAUCACCAUUUGAAAUUUAUAAAAGGCGGGUUGUUUCCCAUAUGUGGCACCUUCCAUCGGAAACAACUGCAAUUUGAAGGCGCUAAGCAUGUAGGCAUUUAUGCUGAAGUUGUAUAAGGACGAGAGUUCGAUUCUCUCCACCUCCAAAA
rnacentral:tmRNA from 1 species